rnacentral:rRNA from 1 species
CAGUAGCCACGGGAACACGUAGGGGGCGAGCGUUGUCCGAAGUUACUGGGCGUAAAGAGCGCGUAGGCGGGUCUUUAAGUGAGGGGUGAAAGGUUCAGGGCUCAACCCGGACACUGCCUUUCAUACUGGAGACCUUGAGUGUGGGAGAGGCGAGUGGAAUGGUCGGUGUAGCGGUGAAAUGCGUAGAUAUCGAUCGGAACACCCAUGGCGAAGGCAGCUCGCUGGCCUAUAACUGACGCUGAGGCGCGAAAGCGUGGGGAGCAAACAGGAUUAGAUACCCCAGUAGUCCCUGUCUCUUAUU